GGGUCGGUAGCUCAGUUGGUAGAGCACUCGGCUUUUAACCGAUUGGUCCUGGGUUCGAGUCCCAGCCGACCCACCA
rnacentral:tRNA from 1 species